CCCUCCCUUUCUCCUCCGGGGCUUUGGAGUCGCCUCGCAGCAGCGAGCUGCGAGCGCCCUGCUCCAGUCCGGGCUUGGAACUGAACUGUGCGAGCGCAGGUCCUGGAACCCGGGCCCAGGCGCGGCCAGCCAGGUCUGAGGCCAGGGCGCCGCGCUCAGCCUCGGAGGCCCCGAUCGGGACGGAGCGGAGCGCGGAGCCGCAGAGCCGGCCAGCCGGGCGGGCGCAGCGUCCGGGCGAGUCCGGGCGCCGGACCGCGGAAGCCAGGAGACGGCCGCGAGCCCGGGGCAGAGGGCAGAGGGCAGCGAGCGGCCUGGCGUGGCGGAGGGCGCCGCCCGGCCGAAACCGAGAUCGCCGCCCGGGACGCCGGCCCUCGCGGGUGCGGGGGUGACCAGUCCCGGGAGACGGCGGGGGCGCGCCCCCUCCCAGCCCGCCGACCCGCGCCGCCCGCCCGUCUCCGGGGCAUGUGAGCGGGAAGCCGAGUGCCAGCCGCGAGGACCGCCCCGGGAGCAGCAGGAGCGCGGAGCCGCGAGCCCGGACCCAGCGCCCCGCAGAGUAUGUCGGGGGAAGACACUUGGGGAGACGGGGCAAGAGGCCGGGCCGGAAGGAGGUCUGGAUCAACAGUUUCAUAACUGACGAUGUGUUGGCUUGGCUGUGCAAGCGGAGGGUUUAGCAGGACCAGUUUGAGCCCAGCCUGGUGUGCGGAGGCGUCUUCCGGAUGGCAUUGGACUCCCAAGGGACCCCAAAUCACCGAAAGCAGGGUGAGCGGGCCCCCCUCCCACACUCAGGCUCUCCGGGCCUUGGGCCUCAGAUUUCUCUCGGUGAAACGGGGUCGGAGCCCUGGAGGGAGCCCUAUAGCGAGGAGAGUGAGCAGGUAGAUAGGGUGCGAGAACCCCGGCAACGGGAGGGAGUAAGCAAGAUGGCCACCCAGCGAACGAACCGCGCAUGAGCAAAACAACCCCCUUCUUGCAAAUUGCUGAGCUGGUGGAAUAUCGGGGGGUGGCUGUGAGAUCCGGGGUGGCAGAGAGGGCUCUGUGGGUGCCUGCGCUGUGUGUGCAGGUUGCUGUGUAGAGGCCCCGAAAGAGAAUGGAGAAGGCUGGGCCAGCGCCCGGGGCACCCCUUCCUCUGAGCCGGGCUCUACCCCCGCGCCUCCCGAGGCACAUCCCUGGUCCCUGUUCCUGGAAACGGGCCUACUUCCUCCACCCACCCCUCACGUAAGUGUCCCC
rnacentral:lncRNA from 1 species